UACGGAGGGGGCUAGCGUUGUUCGGAAUUACUGGGCGUAAAGCGCACGUAGGCGGCUUUGCAAGUUAGAGGUGAAAGCCCGGGGCUCAACUCCGGAAUUGCCUUUAAAACUGCAUCGCUAGAAUUGUGGAGAGGUAAGUGGAAUUCCGAGUGUAGAGGUGAAAUUCGCAGAUAUUGGAUGGAACACCAGUGGCGAAGGCGACUAACUGGACCGACAUUGACACUGAGGCACGAAAGCGUGGGUAGCAAACAGG
rnacentral:rRNA from 1 species